UACAGAGGGUGCGAGCGUUAAUCGGAAUUACUGGGCGUAAAGCGCACGUAGGCGGCUUGGUAUGUCGGGUGUGAAAUCCCCGGGCUCAACCUGGGAACUGCAUCCGAAACUGUCUUGCUCGAGUAUGGGAGAGGGAAGUGGAAUUUCCGGUGUAGCGGUGAAAUGCGUAGAUAUCGGAAGGAACAUCAGUGGCGAAGGCGACUUCCUGGACCAAUACUGACGCUCAGGUGCGAAAGCGUGGGGAGCAAACAGG
rnacentral:rRNA from 1 species